rnacentral:rRNA from 1 species
AACGAACGCUGGCGGCAGGCUUAACACAUGCAAGUCGAACGGUUGUAGCAAUACAGCAGUGGCAGACGGGUGAGUAACACGUGGGAACCUUCCUAGGGGUACGGAACAACUCAGGGAAACUUGAGCUAAUACCGUAUACGUCCGUGAGGAGAAAGUUUUAACGCCCCUAGACGGGCCCGCGUAGGAUUAGGUAGUUGGUGAGGUAACGGCUCACCAAGCCUACGAUCCUUAGCUGAUCUGAGAGGANGAUCAGCCACACUGGGACUGAGACACGGCCCAGACUCCUACGGGAGGCAGCAGUGGGGAAUCUUGGACAAUGGGCGCAAGCCUGAUCCAGCCAUGCCGCGUGAGUGAAGAAGG